AGCUCUUAUGUAAUGGGUUACCAUCAAAUAAAUAAAUCAUUUUUAACUUUUUUUUUACUUUGGAGAUGUAGUGAAAUGGGCAAAUUUCGGCCCGGGCCUAAAAUAAAUGAAACCCAAUGUCCAAAUUACAAAAUAAAUAAUAAACUUAAUACCCAAUUAAAACCCAAUUAUCAACCUAAAAAAACACUAAAACCCAUUACAAAUUAAUCCAAUACCCAAGCCUAAUUCAAAAUCCUAGCCCAACUAUCCUAAAAAAAAUUUCAGCAAGCUUCCCUAAGCACCCUAGCUUUGCUGCUGCCGCAAGCUAGGCCAACCCCCUGGUCGCCACUUCCUUGCAUGCCACCUCCUCCACGUGUCGCACGUCUGACACCUGCAAUCAAGGGAAACCCGCAACAGCAGAAAAACCAAAUAACAAAGAGACAAAAAAAUAGAAAUCAAAAUUUGAAAAAUUUCCAAAGGUGAUUACCUUUUUUUUAUUUUUAUUUUUUGUUCUUAAGUUUCUGUUAUCUUUAUUUUUAUUUUCUCUUAUUUUUUCCUUUUUUAUGCAAAAAAAUAUAAAAAGAGGCAGGUACUUACCUCCAUCGGUCUCCUCGUCGCCUGAAAAAGUCUACUUCGCGUGUCACAGGCCAGUAGCCACAAGGGCAGCGCGGUGGAUCGCCGAGAAAGCCUAUUGGCCAGAUGUAUGAGGAGACAAAGGGUAGAGGAUGAGAGAAUUCCAAAGUUCUAUCAGUUUUUUUUUUUUAAACUAAAGGCUGAAAAUGAAA
rnacentral:lncRNA from 1 species